AAGAAAAUUGGGUAAUUGUCAUGCCCCGAGCUUCGCCUAUUUGGUCGGAUUCGGGCCAUGUCAACAGACGCCGUAGGGACAGGGCCUUCCCUGCCCGCCCAAGGCUCUAGGAACAGGUAUAAUUAAGCAAUCAACCAAUGUAAUUUGCAAUUAUACAAGGCUUGCACGAGGGCAAGCAACAACAUGAAUGAAAGCGCUAAACUACUACAAGUAUCCACAUACAAAUAUUUGAUUAUCUUUUAACCAAAUACAAAUAAACUAGAACUAUUACAAUCAUUUUUCUUUCAUUUAUAAUUUCUUUACAUCAUAAUCAUCCAACCCAAAAUAUAUGAUUGUUUACAACUUUUACAAUACUUGAUCAAC
rnacentral:lncRNA from 1 species